UAAGGUGAAUAUAGCUGCCCAUU
rnacentral:miRNA from 1 species